GCCAUCUCUGAAGAAUCUGCCCCACAACCAAGUUUGAGUGCCAGAUCCCCGGUCUGUAAGAACAGUGCCAGAUAUUCUACCUCAAAAUUUUGCGAGGUAGAUGGAUGCACAGCUGAAACUGGCAUGGAAAAGAUGUCUCUGCUCACUCCAUUUGGAGGCCCACCUCAACAGGCUAAGAUGAACACUUGCCCAUGCUACUACAAGUACAGCGUGAGCCCACUGCCUGCCAUGGACCACUUGAUCCUAGCUGACCUAGCUGGCCUGGAUUCUCUCACUUCACCUGUUUAUGUGAUGGCAGCAUAUUUUGAUUCUACACAUGAAAAUCCUGUGAGACCAUCCAGCAAGCUUUAUCAUUGUGCUCUACAGAUGACAAGUCAUGAUGGGGUGUGGACUUCAACUUCCAGUGAGCAGUGUCCCAUUAGACUGGUUGAGGGCCAGUCUCAAAAUGUGCUGCAGGUAAUGGCCCCAACACCCCCACAAGGAAAGAUUCCCAAUCCGUGGCCUGGUGGAUGCUCUCAAAAUCCAGUGCUAUGGGGUGAUGGGACAGACGGGAACUACCGUCCCAGCGAGCCCUGGAUCUUAGGCCAAGUGCCAUGUGAUCAGCGCUUUCCCCAUCCCUCAGGAAAUAAAAACAGUUCCUCUACAUCUGGGGGCAGACCUCAGCGCCCGCCUUUGCCAAGGACUCGCUUUCCUAAAACCAUAAGAAGGGGAUUCAAUAAACUUAGGUCGACGUUAAAGUCCCCAUGGAAGCCGCGGCCGAGUCCUGUACCAAGUCCUGAAGAAGUUAACCCUGCAGGAAGUCCUGAAGAAAACAUCUAUGAAACUGCUAACAGUGAACCAGUCUAUAUCCAGCCAAUCUCUACGAGGUCCUUAAUGAUGUUGGACUCUGGCUCGACUGACAGUCCAGAAAAUCUAGGCCCACCUACAAGACCUUUGCCUAAACUCCCGAACCAACACCCCAUGAACCCUGAGAUACGUCUUCCUAUUAUUCCACCAUCCAAAUGUCAUAAAGGUUUUGUGGAGUGGGGCGAGGAGUAACAGUGAAGGUGCUAACGCAGAACAUAACUUUUUCUUUAAACACGCCUGGAAGGAGAAGCGUGACAGACCAGACAAUCCCAUCACCCAACCAGGUCUCGGACACUCUUUUACAACCCUAGGAGAGCCAGAUAAAAAUUUUGUGUUAAGCAAGAAGAAAAACUCACUUAGGGUUGGUCAGAUCUACUUGAUCUCCUGACCAAACCCCCAGUGAGUGCUGGUAAAGAAGAGCUCACAUGAGAUAGCUUACAACCUACGCGGCCACUCAACAGACUCUUCCCAUGCCAGCGCCCGGACUUGAACCGAGAACCUGCAGGCUUGGUGGCCGCUGCUCUAACAAUUGAGCUACGCUGGCAAUUAUCUAAAAAGGGGAAAACUUUCACUGAACAUUCUGAGUGGCACGAGAAUUAUUUGCAUGUGUGUGAGCAGCCACUGUUCCAUGGGUGCAUAUUUGGGCGGUAGGGGCUGAUAGAGGGUAGUCUUUGGUAUGCUUGAUGUGGCUGCCACGCCCACUGUGGAAGGUGGCACUCAGUAGGUGACAGCAUCCACUUAAUGGACUGAAGCCCGUCAUGACACAACCGUUCAUCUAGAGGCGCAGCUGUAGAUGGUAAGAACUCCCUCACGCUUUCUGCAGUAAAAGAACUUUGUUCACCA
rnacentral:tRNA from 1 species